CGGACUCUAACAUAUUGUGAAAAAACAUUUAGAUCGUGAUUCAUUACCACCGCUAGCUACGAUCAACCAAGGAGAGCACAUCACUUCCACUUCUUGAACUUGCCGCUGAACAUGCCGUGUCCGUGCUUGCCAUGCUUGAACUUGCCGUGGUGACCACGACCACGGCCAUAACCACCACGACCACGACCACGACCAUGGCCUCCAAAGGGCCCAUGUCCACCGUGUCCGCUAUGGCCAUGAGAAAGCUUGUGUGCUCCGUAAGCGGCAGCGGCGGCGGCGGCACCUCCAGCUAGCAUUGCCCCCGUCCCCAUGUGGCCCCCGGCGUGGCUGCUCCCAUAACCUGGAAUCACAAGAAGCAUUAGUUAGCAUGGAAUAAGCUUCAACAUCUGACUGGAUCAACAGAACAGAAAUACCAAUUUCCAACCUUACAGCAAUAAAAUAUACAUGUAAAUGUUAGUUUCAAGUGUACGGGAGUACAAUUCUAAAUCUACACAAUGAAAUGUAUAAGCAAUAUAACAAAGCAAUCCAUAACAAUCUCAAACUCGGGACUGUAGUACAUAAACUGUUUAAAUAUUAUUAUUGUUUACAAAUAAAAAAUGCACGAGUAUUUGCUGGAGUUAGACAAAUUAGCUAUUCUCAUGGACAUUUCUUUUUGUGAAAGGAAUGAUCUGCUAGAUAUUAUCAUGGUGAAGGCCCUAUGAUUUCGAAGGUGAAGGUGUAAAGCACGUAACUGCAGAGCAAUUCAUACCAUGUUGAGUCAGUACCGAUACAACUGCUAGCUAUUCUGACUCUACGUUACAAGUUAAGUAUUAGAAUUGAUGAAGAGAUCAUACCCUGGUGAGAUGAGCCGGGGUAGCCUGCAGGAGGAUAUCCACCUUGAGUUGGGUAGCCACCCGGCUGAGGGUACCCAUAUUGUGGUGGGUAUGCGCCGGGUGGAGGAGGAUACGCCCCUGGGGGAGGUGGGUAUGCUCCUGGUUGCGGUGGGUAGCCCUGCGGAGGGUAUCCCUGCGGGGGGUACCCAUGGCCACCGGCAACGCCGUGCAUCAAGUUUGAGAAGAGCCCCUUGUCGCUCUCGUCAUGCUUGUCUUUCCCUCCUCCCAUUGCUCCCCCAAGUUUACCUAAAGAAAGAACGAGCAGAGUAUAUAUCAAACUGUGAGCCAGCUUAAGUGUAGACAGACAGAAUAUGAAUGUAGAUUGUAACAGGUUGAAGAAUGCGGUGAUCAAAAAUCAAAUCUGACAUAAUCCCUCUGUCCCAGUAUUAUAAGGCGUAAACAUUUGUUGGGCACCAAAUUGAGCUGCGGACGGUCCGGCCCUAAGGUCGGACGGUCCGCGCCUGUAGCCCGGACGGUCCACACGUGCACAGAACAGAUUAGGGUUCCGAGUUUUGUGCAACGGUUGUUAGCUAGAUUCGCGGAAUUAGCUCGGAAAUUAGUUUGUAAAGGGUCUAGCCCCCUCCUCUAUCUCACAUUUAUUUCCUGUACAAUUAGGAGUAGUUUUAGUUUAGUUCUAGUUUAGCUUCUCAAUCCCCAAAUUCUCCGCUUCUCUUCGACUCUACGUUGAUUAGAGGAGUCUAGGUCGGUCUGCUCGAGCCUAGACAUCACCUAGGAUCUCUCCUCCCAGACAGGGUCCCUCCCAGGAGCGAGAUCCAGGCACCGCCGGCGAUCUUCCGCCGCCCCUGCGCACGCGCGGACCGUCCGGUCCUAGGGCGCGGACCGUCCGGCCGUCAGGCAGGAAACCCUUGCCCCGCGCCAGGCCGCGGACCGUCCGGCCCCUGGCCGCGGACCGUCCGCCCCUGUGCAGAGAGCACUAUCGCUGGUUCGUGUUGAGUGAUUGGCGCCCCAAAAAAGUGUCAACAAUAUCUCUAGUUCAAAGGCCAAAAAAUGUAUUAAUUCUCUCUAUGCUAUUGCGUCGAUGUAUACAUGUCUAGAUAGAGCACAUCUUAUAUUAUAGGACUAGAAUAAAAAAUGGUUAAACUUUAUAUUCUGGGAUGGAGAGUGUGUCUGCAAAAGAAUGCACGGUAAUGGAACAGGUGAUGCAGGCACAAAAGUGGUCUAGCUUCAGUAUGGAUGUAGCAGUGUACCGAGCAAAUUGAAUGGUAUAUAUUGGAACAGGAUGAAUGCAAUAGUGUGAGAGCUUUUUUUUUCUAGAUGAAGGAAGCUUUAUUAAUAACAAAGUUCUGGCUUUCCCUCUCCGUAAGAACAUUUUCUAUCCAUAAACUACAUAAUGGCUAAACAUAGGUAUCCCUCUCUGAAUGUUUGCUUCUACUUCCCUCUCCUUACACAACUACUGACCCAAUCUUACAUGAUCCACUGCAGGAUCAGAAGAAUGCUAAAACAGAGCAGCUAAAAGAAGAUUGCUGUGUACUUGCCGAAGGAAGAAAAAAAAUGAUUUGUUUGAUCUAAGAGAUGGUAGUUAAUUGCUCAUUGCAACUCAGAAAAAAAUGAUUUAUCUGAUCUAAGAGAUGAUAAUUAAUUGUGCAUUGCAACACGGACUACAUGACGAGGCAAUCGAUCCUUAGGCCCCUUUGGUUAGGCUUUUCAAACUGCUUUGGCUUUUAAAAAAGCAAAAAAAGCCAACCAAAGAGGUUGGCUCCCAUCUAAAGCCAAAGCAAAAGGCAGCUUUUAGCUAAUACAUGUACAACUUUCAUAACAGACUUCCACUUCUUUCAUUGACUGUGAAGUUGGGAAAAUACGUAAAAUUACUCACGACAACGAUUAAUGUGCAAUCAGGCCUCAUGUGCAAGCGAAAUGUGCAAUCAGGCCUCAUGUGCAAGCGUGCAAGCGUGCAAGUAAGACCUAAUUGCACAGUAGUCGUUGCCAUUACUCACUGCCAAUAGUUAUGAAGAUAAUGAUUCAUUUUACCUACACACAUCUAUUCUUCAUGCAACCAAGCUCCUCGUCUAGCGCUCCACCACCUCGGUUGGUCGCCAAGGGCGAGCAUGACCUCUGCCACAGCAGGCGAGCUUGGGUCCACCAUCGCGAGAAAGCACGACCUUGGUCAAGGAUCCAUCCGGAGGAAGAAGACAAGACAGACAGGGUCCACUUGUCACUGAGUGAAGCUAACGGCAGUUUUUUAGAAGCCACAACUAUUGAACCAAACGAUUCUUAACUUUCGCACAUUCCAUAACCCACGGCUACUUUUCCACCCGUGGAAGAGUGGAAGACCCAGAAAUCUUCAAAAGCCUAAGAAAAUAUAAUACUCAUACUAUAAAGAUAUCGUCUUGCCCAGUUUUUGCCUAUGUUUAGUUGCAUUUUAUUGCUUGGUACACAUAUAUAAGUCUAUUUGCACUAAUGGAUGAGCCUAGGCAAGUGCCCACGCUCGCUAGGCCAUGAGUCCGCCCUUGUUUUCCACAAUCCACAACUCACAACAACCUUUUCAAAAUCCACAAGACCCUUAGGCUAUUCUCAUUGGUUCUCAGUGGGUAGGUAUCAUAUUUGUAUUUCUAAGAUGCCAUGUAAACAAGAAAGGAAUGAAAUCUUUGUUAAAAUAGUCUCUCGCAAUAGAGAGUUUCUUUCCGUGCGAUUUCAUAUAUAGACAAUAUGUCUAGAUAAUAGUGUAGACAUAGCUUCAUCACAUGAAACUCAUUUCAUCUCUUUCUUCAUUAAUUGUUUUACCACAUCAUCUAGAUCACUGAUAUGCCACAUCAUUCAAUGAGAAUGAAAAAAGUUAUGUGAUGUAGGCAGUUGGAAUGAUAUGCAGUAGGAAACUGAAAAGAUACCCGUAUAACGGUGGAGGAUCAUUCCAAUUUCCUACUGCACAUCACUUGAACAUGCUAGCAUCGGCCAUACGUAUAACUGAUUGCAUAUGUUAUACUCCUCUCCUUGUUAUCAUAUAUAAUAAAUAGUUCACCCUAACCGCUACACUUCUCUCCCCACCCCCCCACCCGGCCACCCCCCACAAAAAAAAGGUAGGGUCUACUGGCCACCCAAAUUACAGCGAUAAAACAUUUUAAUUUACAAUUAAUCAUCCACCCUAAUCAUUGCUUGACCCCAUAAAAAUCCUGUACGCACGGUAAAUUUCCCCUCCACCAUCACACAGUCGAUCAAACAGGGGAGCGUUAAUUCGGAACAUCCUCACAAGUGCAGCCACGAACUUCAGACCGGCAGAUCACACACCAUCCACAGAACUCUACUACGUGGUGACGAGCAAAAACCAACGAUCUACACGCACCGGACCGGAUGCACCCCUAAACCCGUGGAACCAAAAACAAUAAAUCUAACCGAAUUAUGCGAAGGUAUUUAUAUAGAUACUAGAGAGACAACAAAGGUGGGAGUAUAGUAUAGAUGACCAACGUGGGAGGAGAGUUGAGCAUACCGAACGACGAGCCGACGACGCGAACUCCGGCGCCCAGAAGCAGAACAGGUAUGCAGCCGAUCUCGGGCGGCGAUGUUCCUGUGGGCGGCGGGUGCUGGUUUGGCCGUUCUCCUUCCCCCAGGCUGGCGGCUAUAUAGCCGAGGAGACGGCGACAAGGAAGGAGCCAGGAUGGUGGCCGGAGGAGCAAACGCGUGGCGCCGAGUCAGGCCGCCAUGCGGGCUCGGGGCGCGUUACGGUUGCUGCGACCUGCGACUUGCGCGUCGCGAGCGCGUGCCGGCGACCGGCGUGCGUGGGAGGGGAAGGGGAGGAAAGGAAGAAAGCAACGCGACGAAGAACCGAACCGAGCCCCACAUCACCAGCCGGGCCUACAGCGCAGUGACCCGGAUCGAAACAUGUAAUUCUUGUGCCAUUUAUUGUCUUAGGAGAAAACAUAUUUAUGCUUCAUCACAAUAUCAAUAUGGGAAGCGAUUUUACGAAAAUACUUCUGCCCUCAAAGUCACACCUCACAGCAGUGCGGCCAACGGCCGCAUCUGUUCGGCUGCAUAGCUGCGAUUUAUGGACUGUGGAAGAGCUACGACAUGUGAAAAAACUGAUGCGGGCUGUUAAAAAGCUAAAAUCGUUUGGUGGAAACCAUUAAAAAUCGUUAAAUGUUUUUUGAUAUAUAUUUCACGGUUCCAUCCAAAAGCCACUAAAAUCAGGUCUAUAGGUGCUUUAAAUUUUGCACUACGAGAAAGUCAGCUUUUAAAAAAAAACUCUUUAUUGUAUUCAAUCCUUUGGUUUGACUUUUAGCUUUUAGGGAGCAAAAACCAAAAUUAAAAGCUAAACCAAACAUACCCUUAGACUACUAUAAUUGUAAUUGAUAAAGACAAAAUAUUGUAGUAACCACAGCGAACAUGGCUCCCAUGAAUUUCAUGCGCGAUGCAGCUUUCGUUCUCUAUAAAUUAUUGAUUGGUUUGUAUUAUGAUAGGAUAGAGCUAUUUUGUCCUCAAUUUAGUAUUGUUUGAAUUGAUUAUAUAUGAAACUUAAAAAAUAAAAAUUAUGCUUAAAUAUUGAACCAUCUUUUCAAAAUAUCCUGGACAGAACCACUCCAAUUGACUCUGAAACCAAAUGCUACCUAAACUAUGCUCAUACUCACUACCUAAACUAUGCUCAUACCCACUCCAUGAUUUCAUUAUAAGAACAGAAUUUAGAGAACCAAACUCUACCUAAACUAUGCUCAUACCCACUGCAUGAUUUUCAUUAUAAGAACAGAAUUUAGAGACAUGACUCGAUCUACUAUUUCAGCCUCAGAGCCUCAGGCAAGCAGGGAAACGGUUGAUGUCAUCAGAUCAACACGUCUUUUCAGACACCAGCAACAACGUACCGAAAUCGAUUGGUCAGAUAAAGCCACGAUUUAUUACUGGCAAUGGAUAUAAUCUUCAGAGCGCUCCAUCCACAAGACCAACAUAUACAGCAUAUCAGCAAAUGGUUAUUUAUGUCACUUAUUAGCAUUAUGUCACUCGCCACAAGCUGGAUUACUGGAAAUACAGAUGAAGGAUGAGUAACGCUGAAAAGGUAUUACUGGCAACACAUGUCCUGGAAGCCUGAGUUCAGCUACGAUCAACCAUGGAGGGCACAUCACUUCCACUUCUUGAACUUGCCGCCGCCGAACAUGCCGUGCCCGUGCUUGCCAUGCUUGAACUUGCCGUGCCCGUGCUUGAACUUGCCGUGGUGGCCGUGACCAUGCUUGAACUUGCCGUGGCCACCAUACCCGUGGCCGUAACCACCGUGACCAUAGCC
rnacentral:lncRNA from 1 species